GCCAGCACAUAAAUUCGUUUCAAGACAUGUUGACACCUGUCGAAGUCACUUCCUACGCACCGUAUCAUUAAACAAUGGCGUCGUGGGCUUUUCUGUUUAAUUGUGUUAUUGUUUUAAACUUGGGCCGAUAUCUCCCCUGGCCCAUGACUUUAGAAUAUUUUCCAGAGUUUUGUUAUCGUCUUUGUAGCUUCACCUCGACGGACCGCCUCUGUAAAAAACUUUUCAUCUACGUCCUUUCAUCCUACACAUCCCCUCGCCUUAAAUUAUGAUGCACCUCCUCUUAUGUUCUCCGGAUCCUUUAAUCCUAUAAAUUGGAAUGGUUACAACCACAAAUCUCAUCACUUCUCCAAAAUCUUACCUUUCUAUCGAUUUGAAACUCAGACAACAGCCAUGGCGUUCCCCAUGUGACAUGUCUUUCAUCGGCAUACAGUUGUUAAGCCUCUUCUUCACGUCGCGGUUAUAGAACCAAGAACAAUCAAAGUUUAGCCUAACCAGAGAUUACCAUGAUUUUGCUUACAGAGGAUUCAAGAGCUUGCCAUUGAGUGGUUGAGGAGAGGAGACUCUUUGCAGCUUGAACCCCAACCACAAGAUCAGACCACCAAUCUUUCUCUGAGGAAGACAGAGCGGCGAAAUCGAUCAGCUUCGAGUCUGUGAUCUCCUCUACCAAAUGGCUUCAACAAAAACAAUCGCCGAGUGAGAUCCGUGCAAUCCUUCUUGAACACGCCGACGUUGACUGGAAUCUCCGAAAUUUCGGUGGUAAGUUCGAGCAGAUAGGCAUGUGAGAAAAUGACUCCUGCCAUCACUUUAUUCUCUGUUUUUUGGUUAUAGGGACUGGACGUGUUAUUCCUUUGUUGCGUGGUCAGUUUGAUAUUAUGUAUCUGUUGAAAGGAUUAUUUAUACAUAGCGAAAUUCAGAUGAAAAACAAAAUCAACUCCAACCACUGGUCAAGGAGAGAGAAAUCUUGGUACGUUAAACGCAGUGUCCAGUUGAUGGGUAGAUAUGCUCUCCUCCACGCUCAGUUCAUUUAAUUUUACUGUAUCGAAGUGACUGAAGGAUGAAGAGGACUGUUUCCAUUGGGCAAGGAUGAAAUAUAUGCAUGAAAUGGGAUAUCACAGGCAAGGAUGAAAUAUAAGCAUGAAAUGGAAUAUCACGAUCUGGCCUGCAAAUACUAUGUUGUAAGUUCAAGAAAUAGAAAAAAAUUAGGGAUGAUUGUAUUCCUUGGUUCAGCUUCCUUGGUUUUCAGCUGUUGGCAUGGGUUUCUGAAAAAGGCAAAGAGAGUGGACGUAAGCUAGCAUACUUGAGCACACUUGAGGAAGCAAAAAAAAAAUCAAGGCGUAGGACAGAAAAACAGCAAACAAACUGAAAAUAAUUUUUAGAUUGUUUAGCGAUGUAUAUUUUUAUAACAGAUGUUCUUACGUAUAUACAUAUAAAUACUAAACAUAUAAAUAAAUUCAAAAUCGUUAUGAGA